AGAGCGAACGCUGGCGGCAGGCUUAACACAUGCAAGUCGAGCGCCCCGCAAGGGGAGCGGCAGACGGGAGAGUAACACGUGGGAACGUACCUUUCGGUUCGGAACAACCCAGGGAAACUUGGGCUAAUACCGGAUACGCCCGCAAGGGGAAAGAUUUAUCGCCGGAAGAUCGGCCCGCGUCUGAUUAGCUAGUUGGUGAGGUAACGGCUCACCAAGGCGACGAUCAGUAGCUGGUCUGAGAGGAUGAUCAGCCUCACUGGGACUGAGACACGGCCCAGACUCCUACGGGAGGCAGCAGUGGGGAAUAUUGGACAAUGGGCGCAAGCCUGAUCCAGCCAUGCCGCGUGGGUGAUGAAGGCCCUAGGGUUGUAAAGCCCUUUCGGCGGGAAGAUAAUGACGGUACCCGCAGAAGAAGCCCCGGCUAACGUUCGUGCCAGCAGCCGC
rnacentral:rRNA from 1 species